rnacentral:rRNA from 1 species
UACGUAGGGACCAAGCGUUGUUCGGAUUUACUGGGCGUAAAGGGCGCGUAGGCGGCAAUUCAAGUCAUCUGUGAAAUCUCCGGGCUUAACUCGGAACGGUCAGAUGAUACUGCUUUGCUCGAGUGCGGAAGGGGCAAUCGGAAUUCUUGGUGUAGCGGUGAAAUGCGUAGAUAUCAAGAGGAACACCUGAGGUGAAGACGGAUUGCUGGGCCGACACUGACGCUGAAGCGCGAAAGCCAGGGGAGCAAACGGG